GGGGACGUAGCUCAAUUGGUAGAGCGCCUGCUUUGCAAGCAGGAGGUCGUGGGUUCGAUUCCCAUCGUCUCCA
rnacentral:tRNA from 3 species